AAUGAAGAAAGGUGCAAAAUGUAACAAUGUUGUUCCGUAUUUUCCAACAGGCUACAUUACUUAGGUGAGGUGACCGGAAAAGAAGCAGCAGGUUUACCUCCUAUAUCUGCUCAGCCAAACACUGCCACAUGAAGAGAUGUACAGUAGACAAGGAAAAAUCAUGUGGAAAGGGAAGGAGGAGACUGGGGCUGUAAGAUGUCUGCUCCAGUGCACCUAAUCUUGCACCUCUCAUCCCUACACCUGUACUGGGAUGACCAGCAGUUGCAGGACCAAUCUUGACACCAUGGUGUCAUUUUAAAUGAACAGAAGGGACACAACGGGAAUGCUGCUGGACAGUUAUAUUUAAACUUUUGUACUAACUUUCAAUAAAU